UCCCUGGUGGUCCAGUGGUUAAGACUCUGCACUUGCAAUGCAGGGGGUACGGGUUCGAACUCCGGUUGGGGAA